AGUACUGUAGCUCAGUUGGUAGAGCUUUAGGUCGUUGGUUCGAGUCCAACCAGUGCUA
rnacentral:tRNA from 1 species